rnacentral:rRNA from 1 species
AUUGAACGCUGGCGGCAGGCCUAACACAUGCAAGUCGAACGGUAACAGGAAGCAGCUUGCUGCUUUGCUGACGAGUGGCGGACGGGCGAGUAAUGUCUGGGAAACUGCCUGAUGGAGGGGGAUAACUACUGGAAACGGUAGCUAAUACCGCAUAAUGUCGCAAGACCAAAGAGGGGGACCUUCGGGCCUCUUGCCAUCGGAUGUGCCCAGAUGGGAUUAGCUAGUAGGUGGGGUAAAGGCUCACCUAGGCGACGAUCCCUAGCUGGUCUGAGAGGAUGACCAGCCACACUGGAACUGAGACACGGUCCAGACUCCUACGGGAGGCAGCAGUGGGGAAUAUUGCACAAUGGGCGCAAGCCUGAUGCAGCCAUGCCGCGUGUAUGAAGAAGGCCUUCGGGUUGUAAAGUACUUUCAGCGGGGAGGAAGGGAGUAAAGUUAAUACCUUUGCUCAUUGACGUUACCCGCAGAAGAAGCACCGGCUAACUCCGUG